GCGAACGCUGGCGGCAGGCCUAAUACAUGCAAGUCGAGCGCACCUUCGGGUGAGCGGCGGACGGGUGAGUAACGCGUGGGAAUAUGCCCUUUGGUACGGAACAACUGAGGGAAACUUCAGCUAAUACCGUAUGUGCCCUUCGGGGGAAAGAUUUAUCGCCAUUGGAGUAGCCCGCGUUGGAUUAGCUAGUUGGUGGGGUAAAGGCCCACCAAGGCGACGAUCCAUAGCUGGUCUGAGAGGAUGAUCAGCCACACUGGGACUGAGACACGGCCCAGACUCCUACGGGAGGCAGCAGUAGGGAAUCUUGCGCAAUGGGCGAAAGCCUGACGCAGCCAUGCCGCGUGAAUGAUGAAGGUCUUAGGAUUGUAAAAUUCUUUCACCGGGGAAGAUAAUGACGGUACCCGGAGAAGAAGCCCCGGCUAACUUCGU
rnacentral:rRNA from 1 species